GCAGCACGCGCAGCCGUGCCAUCAUGUCAGGGGCUCUCCUGCUCCGUCUCUCUUUUCUCUCUGUCAAAAUCACGCUUGUGCUUGUCGACUUUUGGUUUAAUGUGUUGUAAAUUUGCGGAGCGAGCAGGCAGAAGAAGCGACUUUCCUCCUCUUCAUCCAAGCCAUUUGAUUUGUUCAGGCUGUUUCACAAGACCGCUCAGGUCUGGACUUGGAUGCCUUCUGGCCGUCUCUGUGAGGCUCCUGGUUGGAACGAGGCGAGGGGACGUUGGAGUCAACCCCUGCCCUGAUGUGCCUUUGUCUCAUGAAGUGAGACUUCUGCUCGUACUUCAGCAGCCGUUGGUCAAACCUCCCAGAUGCUCCUUCUUCAACGUACUACUUCCCUCUGUGACAAAAUUCACUGAACCGAACAGAAAACACGCAAAGUUCAAAAAGAGGAAGACCAACAAACAAAUA